AAGGCAUGAAGGGAUAAUGCAGAUCAGC
rnacentral:piRNA from 1 species